UACGGAGGGGGCAAGCGUUAUUCGGAAUUAUUGGGCGUAAAGGGCGCGUAGGCGGCUUGGCAAGUGGAAGGUGAAAUCCCUCGGCUUAACCGAGGAACUGCCCUCCAAACUGCUUUGCUUGAGGCCGGGAGAGGUAAGUGGAAUUCCCAGUGUAGCGGUGAAAUGCGUAGAUAUUGGGAGGAACACCAGUGGCGAAGGCGGCUUACUGGACCGGUUCUGACGCUGAGGCGCGAAAGCGUGGGGAGCAAACGGG
rnacentral:rRNA from 1 species